GCCGCGGCCCGCCCUGUGACCUCCGUGACGGCCGCCGCGUUCAAGGUGCUGCCGCUGCCGGACCCGGGCGCCCACGACGGCUCCGUCGUGUUGCAUAUUAUGCAAGCGAAAUGCUGCCCUUCUGCGCAAGAGGAGUUUGAGGCGGCCCCUGCGCUUUUGCCCUAGCUGCCUUUAUACCCUGUCCCCAACGUGACAGCAAAGCACUGCAGCAAACCUAAAGCCUGCAACCAAGCAAAGACACGGUAGCUGCCUAGCUGAAAAAUGCGGCUCGGACGCAGGUCUUUCCGCGUGCAAGCCCAAAGCCUGCUGAAUGAACCGCUUGACACACCCAGCGCCAAGCAAGCUCUCCCUUGACCCAUGGACUGUUCUUACCGUUUGCGUGGGCGCCUCGGGUGCACUCCGCGCUGGCGCUCCUCGCCCUCCGCUGCAGCUUCCUCUCGCCUGCUCCAUGCUCCUGGCUGCUAGCUGCUGUAUGUUGUGGUGCACCUAGUCUAGGUAGGGCUAGGAGCUAGGUGCUCGCCUGCUGGCGUUGCGCGGCGACAAGUGGAAGCGCGCGUUUGGCGGGAAAAGGGCAACGCCAGAUCUACGUUGCUAGCUUGCUAGGUGAGAACGGUGCUCUAGGGCUCGCAAACAACCACUCAACAAGGUUGCUAGUAAGGUCGCAGCACCCGGCAAUGGCGCCCAAAACGCAGCUGUGUGCUUGUGCGUGCGCAUAUAGACGAGCGAGUGCUAUGAUGAACUAAAGUAUGUGUCGGAUGUGAUGUUAAGGUUAUGUGUUUGUAAGUUGCAGCACGAUGGGGUCUUCUCACAAAAGGUUGCGCGAGAUGGGCGAUGGCUGGCCCACGGUUUAUCAGGGCCGCGAGCACGGCAUGGGUCGGGGCCACGUUCGCUGGCACACGCUCCAAUAUGCACGGAGCCUGACCCGGUGGCCCCGCGCACCGCGACACCGCCACGCAUGCUCAUCAGGCCCCCCGACCAGCCUUCCCAACGACCCACAUACAAAGCCCAACAGGUAGGUCCAAGGUACGUCUCUUGCUUGCCUGGGCAUUAUGUGCGGUGAUGCAUGCGGUUUGGGGGGCAGAGCUCACGCGCCUUGCAAUGUGAGCAGCUAGAGCAGCAUCCAUCCAUCCCGGCCACUCAGUUCAUUGAGAGAAAGAUUACAAGGUCGCAUGGCAGCAGGCGGAAGAAGGGCACAGAAGUAGUCUUGCCGGCGCAAUGCAGCCGCAGCACCCCGUCCGUCCGCAAUCCCAAUUGCCAUUAUUGGAAACGCGCAAAUGUCAAGCACCACGCAUGGCCGACCCACAUGACCCAUGCCAUUGAUGACCGACCAGUUAGCAAUCACACUGGCUCAUCUUGCAACCGUACAUGUUUCUGCGUAGGGAUGCGAGAACGUGCACGUGUCGUCCGAUCAUACGCUAUCCCACGUGCGUGGCCGCGUCCUGCCGGCGGCCCACGCACACUUCACGGCUUGGACUACAGCUAUCCACGCCAUCCUGCAUCGCUCACCGACCGCACCAUCUUCCCCAGCCCCACACGGCCAUCGGUCCCAGCCAGAUCCACUGCCUGGCCCUCAUCAACAACAGCAUCAGCUCCACCGCUCCUCAUACUUCCAAUCUGUGGCACCGCCGCCGCCGCCGCCAUGUGCGACAGGCUGCCGCCCCCGCGCAGCAGCACCCGCGGCGGCCCCCACUCCUCCACCUGCCCGUCCGCAAGCACCAGCAGCGCGUCCAGGUCCAUCACCGUGUCAAGCCGGUGCGCAAUCGCCAGCGCAACGCCGCCGCCGCCACUGCCACCUCCGGCACCAGAGCCGCCAGUGGUGCUGACGUCGGGGCCGCCUCCACCUCCGCCUUGCAGGAAGUCGCGUAGCGCCGCCUGUGUGUACGGCGGCCACGGGUGACGAGGAGCCGUGUGAGCAGCUGCGCGAGGCCUUCAAGUCGCAGCGGUCUGAUGACAUUCCUUAUCAAGUAAAGCCCGCACGGAGACACACGCGCGCCCGCCCGUUCGCACCUGCACCGCCUCGUCCGUCUCGGCGUCCACGUUUGCGGUGGCCUCGUCCAGUGCGAGCACCUUGGCCCUCUGCAGCACGGCCCGCGCCAGGCACAGCAGACUUACUUUGGGUGCGGUGACUGUAGCUGGACGCCCGUGGGAGGUCGUGGUGUAGGCCAAACACGUUGUUGCUUCGUGUCCGUGGCGAGUGCUCGAGAGCGCCUCGGAUGCCCCCAACAAUGGGCUGGACGGCGAGAGUCCGCUGGCGAGCGAGGGCGGUGGGCUGUAAACGACCCAUUCAGGCUGCCAAUUCCCUAUGUACGGCUUUCAUAUGCAUGGGGCAACGUGCGUGACGCCAGGCGCUCAUGCUUGAGAGCUUGCGUUCUGCCCACGGUCCUGCCAAACGGUCUGGAACCCAGGUUCUGGGUUGUACCUGGAUGGUAGGACGCAGGCCAUAGUCAGGGCCAAGCUGGUUGCGGCGGGUGUACCGUAUGAAUGGCCUCUGCAAGAGUGUUAGUUACAACGUUCACCCACACAUGGCGUGGUAGGCAUUUCAGAGCGAGAGUCUGCAUUGUUGCGCUCCGCUUAAUUCAUGCCACCGCUUGGUUGCAACGUACGGCGUCCGCUACAUGUGGCCUACUGCGCUACCUUCAGUACUAUUCAACUUCACCGGCCAGGUCCUAACAGUUCUACAUGCCCACGCCUUACAUCAAGCAAACCGCCCAAAUAGAAUAGAAUGCACAUGCUGACAUCAGAUAUGGAAGCUCCCGCUCUGUCAGUUGGGAUCUCACUAAUGCUUGCGGAUCACGGAAAGCCCUUACGGCCCUUGCGGCACCAGCUCAUACUUUCUCAGAGCGGACCCACGCCUGAUGCGGCAUGGGCGGCAAACACCACCAGCUACUCAUCAUUGCCAACGGUGGUUCAUUCGUCUCUUCUUGCUCCUAUCCUGAAAGUGCUACCACCUACAGCGUGUAUCACGAUGUCACCCUACGAUGCUUUCCAUCCAUACCCAGUCCGUUACUUCUCGACAUGAACCGAGCGCUCACUAAGUACGGGGCUUCCGCAGCCCCACGUGUGCGUGUCCCUACCUAUCUACCGGUAGUCUUCAGUCUCAGUCUCAGUACUCAGCAGUCUCCAGCCAACCCUUUGCUACUCACACAACUACACCAAACUACUACUACCAGCGCCAGCAGCGCGCCUUGUCGUCGCUGCUGCCCACCACUCCGCUCAGCGCGGGAUGCGCCAGCGCCUCCUCCACGCCCAGCCGUGCCGCGGGGUCCACCGCCGUCAGGCCGCUGAUCAGGCUCGCCAGCCGCCGGCCGCCCCGCGACUGCUGCAGGUGCGCCAGGGCGGCGCUGCCCACCACGCUGCCCUCGGCCGGCAGGGGCAGCACGGAGUCCAUCUCACUCGGCUUGGCCGCGAGGUAGGUCAGCAUGCGACCUAGGGAGUAGGAGUCGGCCUUGCGGCCCGAGAUGCGGCCUUGCAGCCAGGCCGAGGGGAACUUCACGAACGUGGCGCGUUCGUAAAGCUCCGGCGCCUUGUAGCCGUCCGUGCCGCCGAUGAAGGGCUGCACCAACAGGCCGAAGAUGUUGGCGUCGGCGGCAUCGCCCAGGUGGUGCCCGCCGUCCACGCGGGUCAGCGGGCUCUUGGCUUUGCCGGCGGAGAAGUCCGAGGGCAGCGUGAUGCGGCGGGCCAGGCCGAAGUCGAUCAGCUUAAGCAGGCCGUCCAAGCCCAGGAUGAUGUUCUCGGGCUUGAGGUCCAGGUGCGCCAUCCCGAUGGCGUGCAGGGCGCGCAGGGCGAGCAGCACCGAGGCGGCGACCACCUGGAGCGCGGCGGUGGGCAGGCCCUGGUCCGGGUGCUGGGCCAGGUUGGCGCCCUGAGGCAGGCAGGGAGGGAGGGGAAACAAACGAUAAGGAGGUGGGCGGGGUUGGGCCUGGGAACCGAGAAGAACCAUGCAUGGAAAGCAAUUCUGAGGAAGCAAUCGAGAUGAGAGCACACGGCAUGACCCCAACAUCUACCUGCGCCCCUGCCAAGGAUGACCCACGCUCGUCACAGGCACUCACCCACAGGUCCCACAGAGUGCCGGCGGCCCCGCCGGCGGCCGCCUGCAUGUACAGGAAGCCCCAGGAGCCGCCGACGCCCGGGCCCAUGCUGCCGGUGCGGUAGCCCAGCACGCGGCAGAUGUGGCCGCAGCCGGUGUUGGUGGCCCGGAUGUGGGCGGACACCUCAGCCAUGAAGGCAUCGUGGGCGCCCGGGUCCGGCAGCGGCAGCACCUUGAACGCGGCGGCCGUCACGGAGGUCACCAGGGCGGGCCGCGGCUGCUUCUUGUUGCCGCGGUGGUUGCGGCGGCCGCCAGCCUUGGCUUCGGCGGCGGGCUGGUGCAUGGCGCCGUACAGCACGCUGCAAAAGCCCACACGGCCGAAGCCGCCGUGCAGCAUGGAGGCGGGGUCCUGCCAGGGCCCGUGGAGGGCUGUAACAAAGGCCGACCCGGGCACGGGCGAGGCAGUGGCGAACAGGUCGGUCGGGAAGUUCAGCCCUUCGAUAGUCAGCCGCUCAGGGGUGCAAACCGCGGCGGCCGGGGCAGGGGCCGUCGCCGCGCCAGGCACGGCUGCCGGCGCGGGCCCAGGUGCGGGAAGGGCCGUGUUAUUGGUGGCGGCGGUCUUGGCGCUGGCGGCGGUUCCGGGGGCGGCCGAGGCGUUGGUGACGUCGGUGCCAGUGGCGGCCGCCGCGGCGGCGGCGGCGGUCUCGAGCGCGGGGUUGUAGGCCGCGUCCUCCUGUGCAGUGACGAGAGGCGGGUUAGUACGGCCGGGAUGGACACGAUAGAUGUGUGAGGCGAGCGAACUGUGGUGAGGCACGGAGGCUGCACGCAGAGGGCGGGAGGGAGGAACCAGGGGCCGGCUGCCAGAACCCCCACAAGUCAAGUAGGAGCCUGCGAGGGGCACUCACCGUGUCAAUACCGAGCGCCAUCAGGACCGACUCGCCCAGUGCGCGGAAGUCCGGGUCCUUCUCCAGCGCGUCACCGCUUGCGUACUCGCCACCCGCACCGCCACCCGCGGACAUCGAGCAGAAGCCGCAGAGUUUGUUGGCCGAGGUGGCGAAGGAGCUGAGUUCAGCGCUGCUGAUGGCGAGGCUCACAGCGCCCACGGCCUCGGCGGGAGGGGAGCAGCAGCAGGAGGACGGCGCCGGCGAGUAGUCGAGGCACAGCACCUGCACGCGCGCGGGCCGUGUGUGGGCGUGUGAGGCCUUACUUCUCGUACCGUGUGAGGGGGGAAAGGAACCCAGCGGCGGUGCGGUAAUCAAUGGCUCCGCAGCAUACCCUUGACAUUUAAGACGCUACACACCGUUCCCAUGCAUUGGUUCACACCGAGAGUACUCACCCCGCUCUGCGGUAGGAAGCCGUCCGGCGAGCCAGGCUUGACAUCCGGGCAGUCGGCGGACGCGACGGCGGCAGGCACGUGCACGAACCACGAGCCGGCAUUGAACUGCAAAACAAAUAAUGCGUGGCGUGUACAAAUCAGAGCUUUUGAAUGGCUGGGUAAACGUUGCACGAACGUAAAUCGAUGCCUUCCCGGAGCCAUCCCGGAGCCAUCCCAGAUGUCGAAGCCCCUGCUGAGCCCGCUGAGAACCUCUACCACGCGCCAAAGAGUACACCAACCCACCAUGUAUAGUCCCAGCGUCCUCGCGGCGCCAGGCAUGAGGCGUUCCGGCAGCGCACGCAACUGCGAACUACUGGGUUGGUACGCGCACGAAGCGGUCGCAUGCCGUUCCACCUCGGAAUCCUGCGAUGAUGCGGCAGCGGCAAACAUGUAAGCUUAACUUUCAUCGCUCCCGGCCCAAGAAUUCGCUUGCGAGAGCGGCUGCCCGACGCCCUCGCUCUGACUCCAUUCAGUAGGCCCACAUCCCGAGUGCCCCGACCACUACUGGCCCAGCGGCUGACACCUCGCUCUCUUCCAAGUAUCCACCGUUGUCGCACUUACAUGCAUGUGCCCUUUGGAGGCCUCCAUUGAGCAAGGCGGUCACCGAAAUUAGCUUCUCAGUCAAAGUGGCGGACGCGGUCAGAGCGCUCUCACUGCCAGAGCCACGCGUCCGGUCAGGGUCUGUCCAGGAACAAAGCACGAUGCUAAUGCUGGGCAGCGCCGAGCAAAUGGAGCCUAGAGAAUGCUGGGUGUCAAAGAGUUGCAACGGCAGAGUGCGAUUGCGAAAGCAGGUCCUCAAGCAAUGAGCGCGCGCGUGAGAUGAAGUAAGACUCAAUCAAUAGGUGUAUGUAUAUGUUAGCCCGCGCCAGCAGGGCCCGUGGAUCCACCAGCGGAUGGCACAGGUGAGGCGAGAAGACCCGAUUUCCUCAAGUGUGCCACAACGAACUCGGGCGGUUACACUACAGGCCCUUGACUUUGACUUGACCGUCGCCAUGACCUGAACAGCACGCAGUGAUGCAAAACAAAAGGUCAGGAGCAAAAGGUUUUGCGCGUUCGCCAGGAAAAGGCCGAACUCCCUCCUGGCGGACGAGAACGAAAUCACCACACGCGUGCUUGGUUGCAAAGGCUCCGUCGUGUUGCAUAUUAUGCAAACGAAAUGCUGCCCUUCUGCGCAAGAGGAGUUUGAGGCGGCCCCUGCGCUUUUGCCCUAGCUGCCUUUAUACCCUGUCCCCAACGUGACAGCAAAGCACUGCAGCAAACCUAAAGCCUGCAACGAAGCAAAGACACGGUAGCUGCCUAGCUGAAAAAUGCGGCUCGGACGCAGGUCUUUCCGCGUGCAAGCCCAAAGCCUGCUGAAUGA
rnacentral:lncRNA from 1 species